ensembl:lncRNA
UUUUAUUCUUAUUGAAGUGAGCUUAGAGAUCUAAAAAUGCAUUACCUGUUUAAUAAAGUCAGCUUUAUAGGUGACUAACAAACUCGAGCCUUUUAUAUCUGGUUGUCAUGAGCGCUGAAGGACUGCAAUAAACUCCAACUACACAAAGUACAAAGCAAUUAUUUCUGGGGGAAAAAUGCCAUCGAGAAAUCACCUUGAUAAAAUCGGGAGGAAGAAAAAGAAGAGGUGGACAGAGGACGCCAUGGAGCGUGCACUGAUAGAGGUCAAGUCAGGCAGGUGCACAGUGAGACAAGCCGCCAAGGAGUUUGGAGUCCCUAAAUCUUCACUGGGGGACAGAGUCAGUGGACGGGUGACCCCUGGGAGCCGUAGCGGCCCGGCUCAGCUUAUAACAUCUGCUGAUGAGGAGUUGUUGGUCGAGUUCUCCUUAUACAUGUCCAGGCAUGGAUUCCCACUUACAAAGCAGCAGCUGGUGUCCUUCGCAUCGUCAAUUUAUAAGCGGCAACACCGGAGGGUGGCAUUUUCCAAACUGGGCCAGACAUGGUGGCUCAAUUUUAGAAAGAGACAAGAGAAAAACAUCACUAUUCAGCCAGCAGACAAUGUUGUCCGUGGGAGGACUGUGUCAGUGAGAAAGGAAGCAGUAGAUCAGUUUUUUCACCUCCUGAGGACUGUUGUAGAUGCUCAUGAGCUCAUAGACAAGCCUCACCAAAUUUUCAACUGCAAUGACACAGACUUUCAGCUGAGUAGGAAGAGGGUGACUCUCCCCAAAUCUGUCGGUCUAGGCUACAAGCCAGCGCCAGGCUCCAGGGACCAUGUCUCCGUCUUGGCUUGCUUUAAUGCGGUUGGAGAGGACAUCCCCCCAUUUAUAAUCUACUCAAAGGCCUAUCCAGGGGGAGUAUGCUACAAGACACAAGGACCACCGAAUGCCCUAUACGGGUGGUCAGACUCGGGAUGUAUCAAUUCAGACCUCUUUAAGAAAUGGUUCCUCAAACAUUUUCUCGUGCACGCACCAAAGGAGCGUCCACUGCUGCUGAUUUUCGAUGGCCACAAGUCACCCGUGAACCUGGAGGUGGUGGAAACAGCUCGUAAGGAGGAUGUCAUUCUUCUGUGCCUCCCACCUCAUUGCUCCCACAUCCUCCAGCCACUCAAUGACGGUCUCUUUGUGGUCCUCAAGCAGCACUUUGCUUCAUUCCUAGGCGACGGCUACACUACUGACACCCACUUUGCAGUUAGCAAAAAGGAGUUCUCAGGGGUUUUCAAAGGAACAUAUCAGGUAGCAAAGGAGGAGGAAGGUGUGAGAAUUGUGAAGGAAGGCUUUAGGAAAUCUGGGAUCUACCCACUGAACCCCUUCACCAUCUGUGACAGACACAUGAUAUCAGCCCACCACCCUGGCCAGAUAGCUGCACCCUCCUUGUCAACACCAGUGCCGGGAGUGCACACUGUAGGAGACCUCACAGAUGCUGGGCCGUCUUCCUAAUUCAUCGCUAUAAAAAUGAAAGUGUGAUUGACUGCAUAAUUGAGCAAAGCAGAAAUGAACACAGGCUCGUUCUGUCUUUCAAAAUACUGAAUUAAUUACAGUCCUGUUUUUUUAAUAUAGUGAACCACCUCCUGCUGCCUCCCUGCAGAGAGCCCUGUUUGAGGAAGGCUUGCAUUGUUAUUAAUUACUACUCAACAAUGAGCUCAGUUUUAGUUAUCUGGUAAUAAUGUUUGAAUGAUGCACAACUGUGGUUUUCAAUGGGUUGGGAGUCCCAAGGUGAACAUGAUUUUCAAAAGGAUAUUAAAAGAAAAAUAGAGGAAAUAUUUCUGCUUAACAAAAAUCUGUAAUUUCUCUUCAUAAAUGCUUCCAUCUUCUUGUGAAUUAUUGGAUGGCAAGCCAUUUAAAUUAAGUGACCCAUAAAAGAAAAACACUUGCAAAGCACUCACAAGUUGCUUCAGCCUAGGGGAUUGUGAGCAAAAGGACAUUUGUAGAUAUUCAGUGCCAUCUUUUUUUGGUAUUGCUGGCCAGUCAGGUAGCGAAGCUAACCAUCAUUGGUAAGGGGCAUGAUUUCAGUUUAGUGGUCUCUGACAGCAAGUGAGGGAGGGGAGGCUGUGAGGUGUGAGUUGCCCGAGCAGUUCUGCACAGAUAUAACACCGGUGCUUCACUCUGUCAUUUGUUUUAUGUAUCUAAGUAAUGUGACAAAUUCACUCGAUUAUCUCAAACACACUGGAACGGAUAAAAGAAUGGAUUUAAAGCUUGGGCACAUUUUCAUAUGUUAUCUGUUGUAGACGUCUGAUAACUACACUUUAUGCUGUGCAAGAUGUCUCUGAAGCACAAUCAAGCCUCUUAACUACCAGACUGAUUUUGAGUGGAAGUUGGAACCAUUUAUUGAAGGAUGUGUCAUCAACAGAUGAUGCAGCUGUAGAAUAUGAUACACCUACUGCUGUUGUCAUGGUUUUCUUUGGAGGUCAAAGAAAAUAUGUCCAUUUUUGGUUCCAACGGUUGUUGUCUUUUUUUCCCUAAAUAGUUUAAAAUUGUACAUGUGAUUCUGUUGUUCCUUUACUUACAUCUACUGGCCUCUUUGUUAGGUACGCCUGUUUAGCUUCUCAUUAAUGCAUAUAUCAAGUCAGCCAAUCACAUGGCAGCACUGUGCUAUCAUGUUAAUGUAGAUCAUAAUCUCAGGAAGGUUUCCAGCAUGUUGUUGAAUCUAUGGUAUGAAUAAUUAAGACAGUUCUGGAGGAAAAGGGGUCCAACCCAGUACAAGCAAGGUGUACAUAAUAAAGUGGCCUGUGAACAUAAGUAUCCUGAAUAAUUGUGAACACAGAAACUGAUAUAAAAGUAAACCCAAGACCUUUUUAAAUAAUUUGCUUCUUUCUGUUCACCUGGAAGAAUGAACCCUACGUGAUCUCAGGGGGAAAAGUCAGACAUCUAGAAUAAAGAUAUUUUUAAAUGUGUUUGAAGCAAAAAUUUGUCCAUAACCUUAAUAAUUUACAAAAUUUUGCUGUAGCCAUAGUUGAGUGUGUGUGUGUGUCUGUGUUAUGUACAUGUUCAGGCUGAGUGAUGUAAUGUCAGUGCAAUUGAUACAUUUGCCGACAAUAGUCGGGCAGCUAAGGCUGACGUAUCCUUUAUUUAGUAGAAAUAUUGUGCAACCAAGCAGAAGAACAUCUUUCUGUUCUAUUACCUGUAUAAAAUAACUCUGUAUAUGACUAUAAUUAUUGGAUGCCUAUAUCAAAAUCAUAAUUUUAAUGCACAGGGGUAUUAAUAUUAACAUUAACCUUUUUUUUUUAACAAAGCUGGAAAAACAUUUGUCACAUACCAUAUAAUUAACAAUCUCAUAUGUUAAGUUGUUCCCUAGAAAGCUUUUGCUACAGUAUUCAAGGAAAAAAUACGCAUGUGUCCUACAGGGAAGCACCCCAGUAAGAUUAACGUUUGAUCAACCAGCUUAAGUGUAGGUCACACUGCAGUGUACUUUAGAGUUUUAUGGAUGCGGUACAGAUGCCCAGGGCUAAGUUAAUGUUUUUGUACUGUAUGUUAAUAUCACAGAUGGUGAUUUGUGCCUGAAGCCUGGAAUAUUUUUAGUUAUGAUUCAAUGACACAGCACAGUCGAAGGACAAUUUGAGUUUAACUUGCAGAACUGCCACCACACUGUGUGGUGCCAUACACAUGGGUCUAAUAUUUAAGUUUUACAUUAUUUUUCUUUUAAAAAAAAUAGAUUUACAGUCAUGGUAAAAAUUUAUGGCCUCUGUCAGUUCUGAGGUUUACAUAUGAGGGCAUAUUGAAAGUAAAUCAUGCUCUUAAAGUUUCUGAAAUACAACCUCAGACGAACAACAAUGCGUGACGUAUUACACGGUUUAAAAAAAACAAACUAAGCCAAAAUGCAGAAGGAGUGUGUGAAAAGAACAACCAGUGACUGAGUAGCUGGUAGAACCACCUUUAGCAACAAUAACUUGAAUAGCUUCCUGUAUGACUUUAUCAAUCUGCCACAUCAUUGCGGAGGAAUUUUGGUCCACUUUUCUUUAACUUGUUGCCUUUUUUCUUUUUCAGCCAUUCUGUUAUAGAGUUGCUGAUGUGAUUGGAUUCAUUGUCCCGUUGAAAGAACCAGUUUUGGACAAGCUGUAGCUGUCAGACAGAUGCCCUCACAUUUGACUCUAAGAAUACUUUGGUAUACAGAGGAGUUCAUCAUGGUCAAGUUAGUGAUAUCAAGGUGCCCA